rnacentral:misc_RNA from 1 species
AGUCUUCCAACCUAGCCACAGGUAUAUUUCCAUGCCUGACUUGUUAAAUUUUUUUAAUAUACACACAAGAUAUGCGGGGUUAGUGAUUACUCAAGUUAGUAAUUACUUAUUUUGUGAAUGUGUUAUUCCUCUUCAAUAUCAUCUCUUUUGCCUCAAUAAACUUACUUUGAUUUGCUAUGUUGAAUGUCCCAUGGAAGGUUGCCAACCAUGAGUAUAGAA